rnacentral:pre_miRNA from 1 species
UUUGGCAAUAGAUAGAAUUCACUGUAUGAAGUCAACUAUCAGUGAUUCUGGUAUUGCCAAACC